GUCACACACCAGCUCAUGUGAGUAUGUCACCAUCUGUUUUUCUCUUUCAUCUCUUUUCUCCAGUUGGGCUCUGGGCUACCUUUGCAAAUUGCAACCGCCUUUUUGGGUCGUCACAAUCGUCUGAGCUUCUCCUUCUUCUCCUUCCAUCCGUUAUUCUUUUCUUCAUCCUGAGCUCAACUUUAAGUGGGUAGCUUUCUCUCUCUCUGUCUCUCUCCAUGGCUAGCGUGGGUGUUGUUCCAGAUCACAGUUCUGAUGAGCAAAUCGAGAAGAAGGGAAUUGAAGAACUGCAGACUGUUGAACAAGGGGGUAUUCCUCCAUCCAGUGAAAAUAAAGUGCCUGAUGGAGAAGAAGAGGCCAAAGCUCAGGAGGAAUCUGUAAGUGACAACGUACCUACUGAAUCAGAGCAAGAAGUGGCAAAUACACAGAUUGUGCCUCCUGUUGUUACAGAUGCUGAAAAAGUUGAAAAGUUUGAUGAGGCCCCUCAUUCAGAUGUUCCAGUUACAGAUGAUUCACAAGUGGGAGUAAGUCCAGAUUCGAUACUGGAUAUAUCCUCUGUUCCAGGAUCUGUUGUUGAGGCUGUUGAAAAAAAAACAGAGGAAUCACCAGAUGUUACUGAAUCAUCAGUUGAAGCCUUGGAGAAACCAGUGGAACACUUGAAAGAAUCUCCUCCAGGAGAUUCAGAAUCAGAAGUGGGAAAAGAGCCAGAAGAAGUUUCUGUGGUGGAGCGUAAACUGGUAGAAAAACCAGAAUCAGUUGUGGAAGUGGAAAGGAAACAACAAGAACAAUCUCAACAAUUUGACGAGAAAUCUGAGAUGCUUGAGCCUAAGGAGACGGUGGAUAGAGAUAUCACCAAUGAUGGAGGGACCAAAGUUGAUGAGUCUUCGAAGGAAGAAAUUUCCAUUCUGGAACCUCAAAUGGUAGAAAAGCCAGAAUCAGUUGUUGAGGUCGUAGGAAAACCUCAAGAGGCUGGAGAAGUUGAGGAGAAAUCUGAGACGCUUGAGCCCAAAAAAAGUAUCAAUAAUGAUGGAGGAAAAGAUGGAGAGACCCAGGUAGACGAGUCCUUGAAGGAAGAAGUUUCUGUAGUGGAACCUCAAACACUAGAAAAGUCGGAAUCAGUCAAUGAGAUGGGAGGAAAACCAUCAGAACAGGCUGGAGAAGUUGAGAAGAAAUCUGAGAUGCUUGAGCCCAAAGAAAGUAACAAUCAUUAUGGGGGAAUAUAUGGAGAAACCCAAGCAGACGAGUCCUUGAAGGAAGAGGUUUCUGUAGUGGAACCUCAAACACGAGAAAAGUCAGAAUCAGUCGAUGAGAUGGGAGGAAAACCAUCAGAACAGGCUGGAGAAGUUGAGAAGAACUCAGAGAUUCUGGAGCCUAAGGAGAGCAUGGACAGUGAUGUCACGAAAGAUGAACCAACACCAAUUGAAAUGGUCAAGUAUACUGAGCCCUUGAAGGAAGAAGAGGUCACUAAAGAUCAGGACAUUGUUGCAUCUGAAUCAGAUACAGUAGUUUGUGCUGGUCAGGAAGCAGAUUUUGGUCUGAAAGAAGAUGGAAUAAGAUCUGUUACUCCAGAUAUCGUGGAAAAUGUCAGUGUCGAUGAUACUGAGAAAGAAGUUGGGGUUGAUGGGGAGAAGGAAGCAAUGCAAGUGGGAGAGUGUGAAGCAAAUAAGGAAGAGAAAGUUAUGAACACUGAAGAAAGCAAAGACUUGGAUGUGAAAAUAGAGGAGCUGACGGAACCUGUGCGAACUGAAACCAUUGAAGAAAAGGAGGCAAUGGAUACUAAAAUUGAAGAGAAUGAAGAAAAUAAUGUCAAAAAAGAGGAAUCAAUGCUACCCGAGCCAACAGGAAACAAGGACGUGGGUGGCUCCUGUGCGGCAACUAAAGUUGCGGAAAAAUCUUCCAAGGAACAGAGUGCUUCUAGAGAUGCUGAAGUGGUCAUUGAAGAGAAAAAAGAGCAGGAUGCCAAAGUUGAUACACCAGAUUUAAAUGGUAAAGUGCAGGAUGCCAAAGUUGAUACACCAGAUUUAAAUGGUAAAGUGGAUGUGGUAGAUACUAAUGUUAUCAAUGAACCCAUUGCAGAGUCCAAGGAGUCAGAGUUAGAAGGGAAGGUGGAGGAAGCAAUACAGUCCUGUGUAGAUAAUGUGGAUAAAAGAGAAGUGCCUGAAGAAACUGCAAAAUCUGGAUCUCCAAAUGUGGAAUUAUCCAAAAUUGAGGAUAACUCAAAAACUGAUCAGGAACCUCCUAAACAAGAAGUUCCAGCAAAGCCCUCUCAAAAGCAAUCUAAUAACAUCAUAUCAAAGGUGAAGCAGUCAUUUGUGAAGGUCAAGAAAGCAAUCAUUGGGAAAUCUCCAAGCUCAAAAACCCUCUCUUCUGCAGCCAAGGGUGAUAUACAAGUUAAAUAAUGGACAAGGGUCAAGGGAAGUUUCAAGUUGAAUUGCCAAACAUGUUUUUCCUCUGGUGAUUGGUGUGUCAUAGAUGCUGUAAAUGUCAGGUUUGCUGUGUCUUCCAUGGGGUGCCCGUGGGAUGGCAAGUGGGUGUAUAUAGAAGGCAUGGAUCGUUAAGCUUCAGGAGAAACUAGCAGCUGCAAAUCUGCUUCCUUAGCUUCCAUACCACCAUUUCAAAAGAAAUAACCACUCUUCAAUUUCGUUUUCUCCAACCAUUUCUCAAUUCUCAUACAGGCACGGAUUGCAAAACUUCAGGAGAAACUCACUGCUGCAAGCUUUCUGGAAUUUUCAGGUUUAUCAUUACCUCUUAUCAGGUUAAGUUGACCAUUGUUUUCCUCAGUCUAUUUGUAAAUAAAUCAAUAGAUCGCUUAAUAGAGUUUGAUUUAUUUGUGGUUUGGAUUUUUCACUACUGAAAUGUGAAAUAUUGGAAAAUCUGAAUGGAAGUUCUUUGAGUCUUUUUCAUAGUGAA